CGUUUCUGUCCCGUCCACAAGGCAAGCAGGCGCCCUGGAGCGCCCCUUUUUUUCUUGACAGGUAGCGAUUAGCCGGUAGCCCCACGCGCGCCACUCGUUCGAGGUUACAGCCGCUCCCACCGAAACUGAGCCCACCUUCCUCGCAGCAGCGGCUGCCCCCCUACAGCUUCGUCCGUUAACCGCUCCAGGCUAUACUGCACGCACGCGCGCUGCCGACACAAUCCCGUGCGGCGGCGGCGCAGUGCAGAGGUGUGGACCCAAGCGGCGCACAGGACCGAGGUCGCAGACGGGUGAGGGAGGAGGAGUGGGGUCGACCGCUGCACUUCCCAGCAGCCACGGGUGAGAGCGAUCGCUCCUCAGGCUGCGGCUUUAGUCGUGUCUUCCUGUUCCCCCACGCGCCCGCAGUGCCAGGGACGCGCGGAGGCAGUGGGCGUGUGGAAACGACGUGGCACAGCUACGCAGGGCAGCCCUCGGAUGCCUGAGGUAGGACAGGGGCCAGUAAGCUACCUUGCGGACGGCAGAGCGGAGGCACUCUGAUGAGAAGGUACUCUGCCCCCGCUGAGGAAGUGGACGGAGGUCCCUGCGGAGGAGCUGAGUCUUCUCCACAACGAAGAAAACAAAAGAAAACAACAGUACUGAACCCACACUGCGUCGAGGAAGAAAUAGACUGCUGCCAGGAAAGAGGAACGCGUCUCUCAGUCUACGUCGGGCGUAGGUCGACAGAGCCUACCGCACGUUGGCAACGGGAAGAGGAGAAGGUGCUCCUACAGCCUCCUUCUGCCUCUUCCCCACCCCGCUGCCUCGGCAAGCUCUAGGGCGCUUGGGCUUCAGUGGAGAGAAAAACCAGUAUGCACUGCCUGGCGUGCCACCUCUGGUCAAGAUUGCAGGCUCCAGGAGCCAACCCGCGUUUUCCCCUCAAACGAAGCACGGAAAAGUAGAUCAGAGAACUUCCCCGGGCACCAGGCUCCCACAAGCGGGAAACCAAUUAAAAAAACAGCCUCUGCACCCAUGCUAAAACUUAAAAAUCACAACGUGGAAGCCGCUAUCUGCUUUUCACACAGUGGUUGCAGGGCGCCUGCUUGCUUUGCGGACGGGGCAGGAACGCAUGCCGAUUGGGCAUGAGUUACGGGGGCCGAGCCCACCUUACGAGGUCCAACCCCCCGCAUACGGCUAGAGCCUUCUCCAGCACGGAAGCGUUUGUCUCUUCGCUGCCGGAGCCGAACAAGUGACCACGAAGCAGCAGCUGCCACCAUGACGCGGCCCACGAAGGGGCGGGGGGUUUCUGCACGUGCAGGCACAGCGGAAGACUGUCAACCCACUUCCCUGCAGGCGGGGCCCGUAGAAAUGUCAAUAACACUUCCUCAAUAAGGAGAGCGCUAGCACAAACACGACAGUAGAACCUACUACAGCACCAGUCAGCGCCAUGUGAAAAAGUGAAAGCGUGAUUCACUCCCGCGGAGUUUGCUCAAAUCGACGUGCACGGACUGAAGGGCCUGCGAAUCGCGCCCGGCCCCCGUGCACGGCGCUCUGCGGGGGCCGGUCGCGUGCCCUUGUGCCCUCACGGUGGUGCAGGGCCGUCGCGGUCCCAGCCAUCCUCGCUGCAACGGAGCCUGGAAGCUCGGGAGAUCACGAACGGUGACCGGAAGAGCAGGGCAGGCGUUCCCCGGCAGCGCCUCUUUCCCCAGCCUCGCCAACAACCCCACGUGGCAUCAAACCUGCGAAUGCUUUUUUGGUGCGGGGUGGGGAAAGGCGGAGGGGUCGAUCUCAUAGGUGAAAAUGGUACCUCGGCGUAGUUUGGAUUUGCAGUUUUCUAAUCUUGGGUAAAUAAGGUUGAGCGUCCUCUCCUGUUUCAGAGACGCCUUUAUUUUCUCUCUGUGAGCUAACUCCUUGUUGGGGGUCUUCGGCCCUUUUCCUCCUGGAUUCUCGGAUGGGCCUUAUCCUAAGGGCGUGGAUCUGCAACUUACACAUUCAGGGGACUGGCCCUUUGUCUGUAAUGGAAGCGGUGACCAUUUUCUCCUGUUGGAUAUCUGGCUUUGGCUUUACUUAAGGUGAUGAUUCCAUUGCUUCAAGGUUUCAUGGAAAGUUGUUUUUAUAUCAUCAUAUGUAUCAAUUAAAAACAUAUCUUUCAGAUUUUGAGUCGAAAGGACUUAUAAUUUCCUAAA